AGAACGAACGCUGGCGGCAGGCUUAACACAUGCAAGUCGAACGGCUGUAGCAAUACAGCAGUGGCAGACGGGUGAGUGACACGUGGGAACCUUCCUCGGGGUACGGAACAACUCAGGGAAACUUGAGCUAAUACCGUAUACGUCCGCAAGGAGAAAGAUUCAUCGCCCGAGACGGGCCCGCGUCGGAUUAGGUAGUUGGUGGGGUAACGGCCUACCGAAGCCUACGAUCCGUAGCUGAUCUGAGAGGAUGAUCAGCCACACUGGGACUGAGACACGGCCCAGACUCCGUACGGGAGCAGCGAGUGGGGAAUCCGUUAGGACAAGUGGGACGCGAAGCCUGAUCCGAGCCA
rnacentral:rRNA from 1 species